rnacentral:rRNA from 1 species
GAUACCCUAUUAUUUUAAAAGUAAUUAAAUAAAUCUAAUUAGUAGUAGUUAAGUUCUUGAAAAUUAAAGAAUUUGGCGGUAUUUUAGUCUAUUCAGAGGAAUCUGUCCUAUAAUUGAUAAUCCACGAUUUUUUAUACCUAAUUUAUUAAUUUACAUAUCGCCGUAGUUUGAAUAUUUUUUGAAAAUUAUAAUAUUCAUAAUUUAUUUUUAUAAAAAAAAUCAGGUCAAGGUGUAGUUUAUAGUUAGGAAGAGAUGGGUUACAAUAAAAGUAUUUAUUAUGGAUUAAUUAAUUAAAUUUUUUUAUGAAGGUGGAUUUGAAAGUAAUUUUAUUUA